UGCGUAGGCGGCUUUUUAAGUUUGGUGUGAAAUCUCCCGGCUCAACCGGGAGGGUGCGCCGAAUACUGAGAGGCUAGAGUGUCGGAGAGGUAAGUGGAAUUCCUGGUGUAGCGGUGAAAUGCGUAGAUAUCAGGAGGAACACCGGUGGUGUAAACGGCUUACUGGACGAUAACUGACGCUGAUGCACGAAAGCGUGGGUAGCAAACAGGAUUAGAUACCCUGGUAGUCCACGCCCUAAACGAUGCAUAUUUGGUGUGGGCCAUUCAUUUGGUCUGUGCCGGAGCUAACGCGUUAAAUAUGCCGCCUGGGGAGUACAGUCGCAAGGCUAGAA
rnacentral:rRNA from 1 species